rnacentral:rRNA from 1 species
AUGCUAGAACUGCCAGGCCUAGGGCAACCCCUGACAGUUCAAGAGCUUGUGCGCCUGGUGCACACGUACAAGCCCAAGGUACUUUUCCUUUUUGAAACACGACAAAGUGAUGAGUACCAGAAUAAACUGAGAUGGAGGCUAGGCCUCAAACAUUGUAUCAUGCAAGCUGGCAUCGGAAAGAGUGUUGGCAUUGCAUUUUUCUAUGAUGAGAAUGUGGAAAUAAAGAAGCUUGUCUUUGGCCCGAGGUACAUUGAUGUCUUAAUUUGUUUUCAUUCUCACUGUCCACGUUGGAGGGGCACUUUUAUUUAUGGUGAACCAAAGUCCCAUGAGAGGCAUGACAUGUGGAGUUUGCUACGAAGAAUAAAGAACAAUGCUACUAAACCAUGGCUUAUGAUGGGUGAUUUCAACGAAACCAUGUGGCAAACUGAACAUCUAUCAAGGGCAAAAAUAUCGGAAUAG